CCUAACACAUGCAAGUCGAACGGUAACAGGAAGAAGCUUGCUUCUUUGCUGACGAGUGGCGGACGGGUGAGUAAUGUCUGGGAAACUGCCUGAUGGAGGGGGAUAACUACUGGAAACGGUAGCUAAUACCGCAUAACGUCGCAAGACCAAAGAGGGGGACCUUCGGGCCUCUUGCCAUCGGAUGUGCCCAGAUGGGAUUAGCUAGUAGGUGGGGUAACGGCUCACCUAGGCGACGAUCCCUAGCCGGUCUGAGAGGAUGACCAGCCACACUGGAACUGAGACACGGUCCAGACUCCUACGGGAGGCAGCAGUGGGGAAUAUUGCACAAUGGGCGCAAGCCUGAUGCAGCCAUGCCGCGUGCAUGAAGAAGGCCUUCAGGUUGUAAAGUACUUUCAGCGGGGA
rnacentral:rRNA from 1 species